rnacentral:lncRNA from 1 species
UUUCAUGUACUACAUUCUUUUAACUUUUUGAGGUAUCAAUUUGUGUAUCUUGCAAAUGUAUCCAAAGUUCAGAGUUUGACAUCUGUUAACAAAAUUCAUAUGGUAAACAAGAGAUUUAUUAGUAGGCUGAUUGGCUUUGAGUUCAAUUUCUAGUUUGGUUUAGGCGUUUAGCCCGGUUUAGAAAUUGUGGUGACGCACAAGCUCGGUUUGAUUAAACUUGAUCCGUUAUUAAUUAAUAAACCAAUAAACCAAGCUUGGUUUAGAUUUAGAAGUAUACUAACAUCUUCAUUUGUUGCCAAGGACGAUGAUGUUUUGUCGGAGGCUUUUCCUUUUUUUUUCAUGUCUGUUAGUCGGAGACUACGUAAACGACAGAGCUGCGAUGAUUUUGGGUGUAAGAAAGAAUUGGGGUCUCGCCGUCUCGGGGAAUUUUUUUGUUGAAUUCGUUCGUUGUUAACAUUGCAGGUGCACACCAAGCGUUCGAUAAAAUAGCCAAGUGAGCAGUUUCAUGUUUCUACGGGCACCUACUACUUGUGCGACUUAUUAGUAUGAAGACUUACAUGCUCCCAUACUUUGAAACUUGUUGUAAAGGUAUUGCUCUUGCGGCAGCUCUCGGCAAAGCUAGAGCCUGCAAUGGAGUCCUCAUGUUACAAAGCAAUCCAGGAUUCUCGCUCAUGUCAAUCCUCUCUCCAGGAACAGGGGAACUCCAUGAGAAGCAAUGCAACAAAUUUCCCAUCACCAAUGUCAUCAAGUUCAUGCUGAGCUGUGCCGCUGGACACAUCCGUCUUCCUGAUCCAAAUGGAAGAACCCUAAAGUCUCGACCUUUAACAUCGGUUUCUUCCUGAAGGAACCGCUCUGGUCUGAACUCAUAUGGGUUUAUCCAGUUUGCAGGGUCCCGCCCAAUCGCCUGCACAUUGACAUAAACUGUGGCUCCCUUAGGAACCUUGUACCCACCUACCCAAACAGUUUCACUUGCUUUGUGUGGAAGCAUUAAUGGUGUUGACGGGUGAAGCCGGAGAGCUUCUUUAACCACACAUUGCAGAUAUGGCAGUAUGGGGAUAUCUGAUUCAGUCAUUAACCUUUCGGAUCCAACCACAGAAUCAAGCUCCUGUUGCGCCUUUUCUUGCACGGUCGGGCAUUUGAUCAUCUCUGCCAUAGCCCAUUCGAUAACAACUGCAGUUGUGUCAGCACCCGCGGUUAACAUGUUCCAGACUAGUCCCCCAACCGUCUCUUCGCUCAGCUCUUUCUGCUCUUUUAACACCAACAAUUUCCGAACAAAUCCCCUGUGAUCCUCUAUUUCUAUAUCUUCUUCCACCAUAAUAGCUCCUCUAAACCACUUUGUUCUCCGAUCCUUGUGCGCUAAGAAUUCCUUAUCACUAAAGAACCAAGAAGAAACCCAUUUGAGCCACCAGACGUGAUCAAGAAUCGUCCCUGAGCCACUGAGAAGAUGUUCUUUCUCAACGAUGGCUUUAAACUCUUUUCCUUCCUCAGACCCGAACUCUUUCCCUAUCAUUAACCUUGAGAUGGUAUUCAAAACAACCGCAGCUAGGUACUUCCUCACAAUCACCGGUUUUCGCUCCUGAUCAUCCCCUGAAUUGCUCAUUAAGUCCUUCAGAAUCGACACAACCAUCGAUCUUGCUUCCAUCUCUCUCAAGGACCUGAAAUUUUCGAUGCUUUUCAGAGAGAAGAGCUCGAGUGUACAGAGUUUCCUCAGUUUCACAUAAUGUGGACUGUAAUCGGACCAAACAAGAUCAGUACCGGUCUGAGUCAUCCUUGCGAUCCUGUGUCGGUUAGACAACUGAUGGUCUUUGUCUCUCAACACUUGUCUGGCUAGAUCAGAGCUCGAGACCACGACAGUGAGCUGUGACCCUAUCCACACCGAUAUGAUAGGACCAUAAGUCUCUGACCACUCCGAGAAAGAAUGCGUCCAAAGUGGUUUCAUUUGAUGAAGGUUUCCAAGCAGAAACUUUGGUUUUGGUCCCGGCGGUAUGUUGGAUCUCCACCAUCGUUGAUAAAGCAUGAGGGUGGCGACGAUGAUAGGGAGUAAUGAAAUUAGAUAUAUAAUCAUUUUUGCUUCGACGAUGUGAAACAACAGUUAUUGAUGUAAGUUUGAUGUACAUUGUAACAUCUACCUUACACUGAAGUUUUUAUACGCAAACUGUAAAACAUAGAAGAAAGUUUUUGAUAUUUACUUACGUAAGUGUAGAGAAACACAACUUUGGUAUGCGCAUGAAAAUACCAUGGUUUGGCCCCUUAAUACUCUCACACUUUUUGCAUUUUCUGUUUACUUACCAAAACUAUUUCUUGUGCUU